GACGAACGCUGGCGGCGUGCCUAAUACAUGCAAGUAGAACGCUGAAGGAGGAGCUUGCUUCUCUGGAUGAGUUGCGAACGGGUGAGUAACGCGUAGGUAACCUGCCUGGUAGCGGGGGAUAACUAUUGGAAACGAUAGCUAAUACCGCAUAAUAGCAGUUGUUGCAUGAUAACUGUUUGAAAGGUGCAAUUGCACCACUACCAGAUGGACCUGCGUUGUAUUAGCUAGUUGGUGGGGUAACGGCUCACCAAGGCGACGAUACAUAGCCGACCGGAGAGGGGGGUCGGCCACACUGGGACGGAGACACGGCCCAGACUCCUACGGGAGGCAGCAGUAGGGAAUCUUCGGCCAGAGACGGAAGUCUGACCGAGCAACGCCGCGUGAGUGAAGAAGGUUUUCGGAUCGUAAAGCUCGGUUGUAAGAGAAGAACGAGUGUGAGAGUGGAAAGUUCACACUGUGACGGUAUCUUACCAGAAAGGGACGGCUAACUACGUG
rnacentral:rRNA from 1 species